AUGAUUUGGGUUGUGGCAUGCAUUCAUCCAAUUCAAUGAGUAAAGGAAAAUCUGAGGGUUAAUUUGUGCAUCACGGUUAAUUUGGGGUGUUGAGUAUCAUAGUUUAUUGAAAAGAAAUUGGAAAUCGAUUCAUGUACAAGUGUGUCAUGUGUGAAGAACAGACCUCUAACUUAUCCAUCCAUCAUUUUAUUUCUCAAAUUCAUUUUAUAAUCUGCCUAGUUUUAUAACUUGCUUGUUUAUUUCAAAUUCAUCCAAAUCAAAACCCCCAUUUUACUUUCUUGUUCCAAAGUGUUUAAAAUCUGUUUUGUUUGUGUUUUAGAGUGUUUUGAUUUAAGUCAAAACACUAAAUUCGUCCAAAGUUGUGUUAGAGUCAAAUAUGCCCAGUUUGUGUUUUUAGGCAGUUUUGAGUGUUUUUAAGUUGUUUUGAGUCUUUAGAAUCUGUUUUGAGUCCCUUGAGUCUAUUCAAACGUUUUUAACUUUGUUUUUAUGUUUUUCAGUAAGUUUAGAGCUUUUAGCAAGCCCUCCUAAUCCCCGGUUUAGAACGAUCCCUACUUGCAGUUAUACUACAAUUUGACAAUAAGAGGGUUUAAUUUGAGUGCUUAACUUUCAUCGCAUCACCUUCUCCGACUUGAAUCUCUUGACGUAAGUGCGAAGUGACUCCUUCGGGUUCUUCUUCAUGUUGAAGAGGUGGUUAGACUUUUUUUUUUUUUCGAGCAGUUCUGUAGUUCACAUUAGUACUUCAAAGCAUUCACAGUAGUUAUAUGAAAUAAUCAAUUUAUAAACGUUUAUGGAGAUGUCAAUCUUAUAUAUGUACAUAUAUGAUAGAAGAGAAAAGACCUACUCACCUUAGGUCUGCGUUACGACUCCCUCGUAUGAACAUCGAGACAUCACAAACUAUCGUCGCCUGAGGCCAAUUAUCAAAUCAUGACUCAAGUUCUUACCAAUAGAGCACAAAAUUUACAUAAAACAUAUGCUCAAGGACCUUCAAGAAUAAUUUGAGACCCAUUGACUAAGAGUCAACCGUGGAUCGAAGAUCGACGGAUGGAUCCACAACCCUGUAAAACUCGAUCCAGAAGAUCUGCAUCUCGGAUUUCGAAUUCAUAACUUCUUAUGAUACACAAUAUGCUUCUAGAACAACAUACUUAAGUUUCAUUACGAUCUAACAGUUGGAUCUUCGCCAAAUUCCAAAACUGAUUAGCGGUUAACGUUUUGUUUUAUGAAAUUACAAAUCCAAUUCAGGAAGAUCUGUAUGUCGAAUUCUCAAUCCGUAAGUUCCUAAAUUCUUCAAAUAUUACGUACUACAAUGUAACAAAGUUUGGUGACAAUCCAACGGUUGGAUCGUCGAUUCACCUGAAUACCUAAUAACGUAUCGUAGCAAAUUUAGGUUCCAACGAUCAACCUACGUCAUUCAAAUAUCAAAACUGAAUUC
rnacentral:lncRNA from 1 species